ensembl:lncRNA HRAT17 heart tissue-associated transcript 17
UUUCUUUGACACCUAAAACGGGAUGCAACCUUCAAGCAUGACCGAUCUGUUAUUUUUAAACAGAGGGGAAAAUCUGGCAAUGUAAAUAGAAAGUAUCUGUUUACAUAGGUUUUUUAGAAUUUGAUCUGAAAUUUUAGCAAGUUGCAGAAUGGGUUGUGAAGCACAACAUUUCAUCUCUUUGAUUCUAGACACUAUCCUCAGAAAUUAGAUUUGAAAAAUGAGCUUCAUUUUCGAAGAACAUAUUUCUGUUUCCUUCUUCUCCAUUCCACAUAUUAUAAUGUGGCAACUACAUAACUCAUAAUUAUAGUCUUUAUAGGGGGAGAAUAAUUGACUCCAUUCAAGUGUUCGCUCCUGUUUCAAUCAACUAUGGCUGAAGAGUGAGGAGACAUUUGGAAUAAAUAUGGCUUCUGGGGGCCCAUUCCUAUGGAUCAGCAGCUGGCUUCUGGAGGCCCAUUCCUGUGAAUCGUCGAUCUCAUAGAAGAUAAUAUUGUUAGAAGGCUUACCUCAUUGAUGCUGAACAUCCUAAAAAGCUUCUGCUGCUUUGAGUCACUGAAAAAGACCAAGAAACAUGAAUUUAAAAAAAAAUUUCAAAUGUUAUAAAAUAAAUAAUAUGAACUCAUUAUACCUACAAUGAAUAAUUUAAAUUCUUCUUUGGUAGUCCAGGUAAAUAACUUCUCAAAUAGAUUUUUUUAAGCAUCUGUAUAAGUUCAAGAUGUACAUCACUUCAUGUAGAAUAACAUCUCCUAAAAAGAACUGAAAUGCCUCAGUAUACAACCAGCUGACCUGGCUAUCAAACACUUAUUUAGCACAUAUUACAUGAUGGACACUUUGAUGUAGAUACGGACCUUGGGUUGUGUCCUCAAGGAUCAUACAGUGGGUUGAGGAAAUAGGAUAUGCUAUCCAUAGGAAAGUAAAUAAUAAUAUGACAGCUUAUUUUCAAUGAGAAGUGAAUAGUACAAAGAAUAGGAGUUGCCAGAUUUCAAAAGGAAAGAGCUAUCACACAGAGGCGGAACAAUUAGAAAUUUUUCAUGAAGGAAGUGUUCUUUGUGCUGGACCUUUGAGAAAGUAUAGAAUGUAGAUUAGCAAAAAGGCAUGGAAAAGGCAUGAUAGGUAGGAGAGGCAAGUUAGGCAAAGGUCCAUUAGAAUUGCUCAAGAUAUAAUAGACCAACUUGGCCUGAAAAAGGCCUGGAAGUAUCCUCUUUUGUGCUCUGUGAGAAGUUUGCCACCAUGUAAAAAGUCUAACUACCCUAAGGCAACCAUGCUCUGAGAAGCCCAACCUAUCCAGGUGGAGAGGUCCUGUAGAGAAUUGAGGCCACUGGCCCUGAGCUCCCAGUUGAAAUAGACAAUAUCAACAUGUCAGCAGGGUGAAUGAGACCAUCUUGGAAGUGGGUCCUCCAAGAGUAGUUGAGCCAUCCUGCCUAAAUUUCAGCAUUUUGAGCAAAUAAAUGAUUUAUACCAUUUUAAAUCACUA